UACGUAGGCAGCGAGCGUUGUUCGGAGUUACUGGGCGUAAAGGGUGCGUAGGCGGUUUCCAAGUUUGGUGUGAAAUCUCCCGGCUCAACUGGGAGGGUGCGCCGAAAACUGGAGGACUGGAGUACCGGAGAGGUAAGCGGAAUUCCUGGUGUAGCGGUGAAAUGCGUAGAGAUCAGGAGGAACACCUGUGGUGUAGACAGCUUACUGGACGGUGACUGACGCUGAGGCACGAAAGCGUGGGUAGCAAACAGG
rnacentral:rRNA from 1 species